AACGAACGCUGGCGGCAGGCCUAACACAUGCAAGUCGAGCGAGGUAGCAAUACCUAGCGGCGGACGGGUGAGUAACGCGUGGGAACGUACCCUUUGCUACGGAAUAGCCCCGGGAAACUGGGAGUAAUACCGUAUGUGCUCUUUCAUUGUAGUGAUGGGGGAGAAAGAUUUAUCGGCAAGGGAUCGGCCCGCGUUGGAUUAGGUAGUUGGUGGGGUAAUGGCCUACCAAGCCGACGAUCCAUAGCUGGUUUGAGAGGAUGAUCAGCCACACUGGGACUGAGACACGGCCCAGACUCCUACGGGAGGCAGCAGUGGGGAAUCUUAGACAAUGGGCGCAAGCCUGAUCUAGCCAUGCCGCGUGAUCGAUGAAGGCCUUAGGGUUGUAAAGAUCUUUCAGGGGGGAAGAGUAAUGACUGUACCCCCAGAAGAAGCCCCGGCUAACUCCGUG
rnacentral:rRNA from 1 species